GGGAGGGGGGCUGUUUAUUGAGAUGUUGUGGCCAGAAAUUUUUGAUGUCCAUAUGUCAAAAAUGUCAUCAGCACAACUUUAAGUUCACUAUGCAUGAGAUGUGUGGAUGGAAAGAAGAAAAGACUUUGCUUCAUGUACUUUGAUUUUCUUCAGAAAGCCAUUUGGGUUGGGAGAAAAGUUUUUCUUUUUCGUUUUCCUUUUUCAUUCUUUUUUCUUUUCUUAUUCUCUUUCUUUUUCAGUUGGAGGGAAGAUUAGCAGGAUUAAGACUGGCUCACAUAUGCUGCUCUUCACUACUGGCAUUCAUCACAACACAAGCCCAACUGCCACCCAGACGGGGAGAGAAAGAGAAAGAAAAAGAGAAUAUUGACAUCUGCGAGAAUCUGAA
rnacentral:lncRNA from 1 species